rnacentral:lncRNA from 1 species
GGGACUUAUAUUUAGUCAAUUAUUAUUAUUUAAAUUCUUUCCAUAUAAACAUUGACAGCUAACCUUUGUAUUCUGUGAUAACCUACUUCUUAGGUUUGAACCAGGAUGUGGACAUGAAGCUAGGGUUAUUGUUUGGGCUACGGUUAAGGUUGAACCAGGAUGUGGACAUGAAGCUAGGGUUAGGGUUUAGGCUACGGUUAAGGUUGAACCAGGAUGUGGACAUGAAGCUAGGGUUAGGGUUUAGGCUACGGUUAAGGUUGAACCAGGAUGUGGACAUGAAGCUAGGGUUAUUGUUUGGGCUACGGUUAAGGUUGAACCAGGAUGUGGACAUGAAGCUAGGGUUAGGGUUUAGGCUACGGUUAAGGUUGAACCAGGAUGUGGACAUGAAGCUAGGGUUAGGGUUUAGGCUACGGUUAAGGUUGAACCAGGAUGUGGACAUGAAGCUAGUGUUAGGGUUUAGGCUACGGUUAAGGUUGAACCAGGAUGUGGACAUGAAGCUAGGGUUAGGGUUUAGGCUAUGGUUAAGGUUGAACCAGGAUGUGGACAUGAAGCUAGGGUUAGGGUUUAGGCUACGGUUAAGGUUGAACCAGGAUGUGGACAUGAAGCUAGGGUUAGGGUUUAGGCUACGGUUAAGGUUGAACCAGGAUGUGGACAUGAAGCUAGGGUUAGGGUUUAGGCUACGGUUAAGGUUGAACCAGGAUGUGGACAUGAAGCUAGGGUUAGGGUUUAGGCUACGGUUAAGGUUGAACCAGGAUGUGGACAUGAAGCUAGGGUUAGGGUUUAGGCUACGGUUAAGGUUGAACCAGGAUGUGGACAUGAAGCUAGGGUUAUGGUUUAGGCUACGGUUAAGGUUGAACCAGGAUGUGGACAUGAAGCUAGGGUUAGGGUUUAGGCUACGGUUAAGGUUGAACCAGGAUGUGGACAUGAAGUGAGGGUUAUUGUUUGGGCUACGGUUAAGGUUGAACCAGGAUGUGGACAUGAAGCUAGGGUUAGGGUUUAGGCUACGGUUAAG